rnacentral:lncRNA from 1 species
AAUGGAAGGCCGGGGGGCGGCGGGGGGUGGGGGUAGGGGUGUGUGUGUGUGUGUGUGUAGGGGUGUGUGUGGUGUGUGUGUGUGUGUGUGUGUGUGUGUAUAUAUAUAUAUAUAUAUAUAUAUAUAGGGUGCUCGGCGCCUGCGCACUAGCUCCAAGCCGCGCACCCGCCCGCAGGGUGGAGAGGAGGCCGCGGGUACCGCGCUGUCCUGGGAAAAGGCGGGAAACAGAGGAACCUCGAGGCUCGCGCAUGCGCACACACUCUGGCGCGGGGUGGCGGGGGAGGGAGUGGAGAGGCUUUGGUUGUGGCAGAGCUGUGAUGAGGGCAUCCCUUGUGACUGGGUUCGGGAGGCCCAGAGAAACACCAGAAAUACCAUCCUGUCUCUCCUCCCCACUCUUCCGAAACACACAAUGAGCCCUGGCACUGAGAGACACCAUGACACUCUUCUCCUCAGUCCUGAGAGAGACGACUCAGCGCUUCCAGGGGAUACAGACCCCUGGGCUGAGACCCGCCAUUCACCAGCCUUCGGACUAACGGCUUCCUAACGCCUUCAGCUCCUGGAUUGGGGCUGCAUUGUUUUCUCCCCCUCUGGCUGUGUCGCCAUAUGUUCCCUGGAGUGAACUUGCAGCCGUUCUCUUGCAGAGCAGGGCUUCUGAGCCCAGAGAAGGAGUUCAGGGCCGAGCCUGCUCCCCGGGGGCACCCACCAUCAUUAGCUUUGGAGGAGGAGAAGGGGCAGGGUGCUGUCUCCAGCGGAGUCUCAUGCCCACGACCCACCCACACCGCCGCCUGAGUCUCCCUCUGUGCCCGCAGCCCAGACCUGGCCUGGGAUUUGGCAGAGCCCAAGCACCUCUCCUGAGCCUCCUGCUUCCUGAGAUCACACCCUACGAGGCCGUGGGCCUGGUGGGACCGGGACUCCCCAGGGACGAGUGUCUUCCAGCCUACUGGACACCCCGGAGAGCUGAAGGGCCGUCCCCGCCCGAUGUCCGGCCUUGCCUGCGUGGCAACCCGCCCAGGGUCAGGCGGUGCCAGCUAGGAAACUUGGCUUUCCUGGUUUCUUUCAGGUAAGUAAACUUAAGCCUGGGUCUGUAGAGGGCACAGGAAAAGACUGUUAGGAGAAGGCAUUAGAGGGCACAGUAAUUCUGGCGAUAAUGUUUUGUUUUUUGUUUUUUUUGAGAAUACUAGAAUGGUUUAGGGAUUAGGGACUGUGAUGGGGAGCCUGAGGUGGAAGAAGAGCAUCUUCUAGGUGUGCUCACGGCCUUGUAGACUGAGAAUGUUUCAUUGGGAGGGUGGGGCCUCAGAGCGCCUAUUAAAAGCAGAGCAAAGCUUGCCAGCUGACAUUGUCUGAGAAAUUGCUGUCAGGCUCUGGAGGGCUUGGUUGGCUUCCUGUGGUGUCUUUGGUGUCCUAGGGUGAAAAGAAAAGGGAGAGACUGCUGUUAACAUUUUUAGAAUUUAAUUUUAAUGAGAGCUUUUAAAAU